rnacentral:pre_miRNA from 1 species
AGUGGAAUUGUUGGGUCAUAUGGUAACUCUCUGUUUAACCUUUUGAGGAACUGCCAGAAUGUUCUUCAAAGUGACUUCUCCAUUUUACAUUCCCACCAGCAGU